AAAAAAAAGAAUGAAAAGUUAGAUUCUCAUAUAAAAAGAAAAAGUGACAAAUCUUCUACCUCUCAUCGUAAUCUUUUUGACUCGAGUUAUUAAGUCUGUAAGAGUAUUUAAAAUUUUGGUGUUCUAUAGUUUGAUUUGGGAGUUAUCGACCUAAAGCUUACUACAUGCAUCAUUUAGGAAGCUUAAAGAAGAGAAGUCUUGUACAGGAGAUGUAAAAAAAAAUAAUCUAAAUAAUCAAAAGUGAAAUGUGCUCGAUAAAGACUUUGAGAUUUAAACUCUAGGGAUUGGCAGUGUGACUUUGAGAAGCACUUACCAUCUUUUUCCUAGGUUUACAUAUAUCCAAACCACUUGAGUGAAAAAUGUGUUAUAAUAAUUUUUAGAAACCCAUAUGUUCUAAAAGUACUUCGGGCUUUGGGAGAAAAACAUAUGGAUUGCUCAUGCACAAGAGGCAUGAGGAAAAAUUGAUCACAAAAGGAUUGAGAUUGUGCGUAAAUCAACAUUACUUGAUUAGUUGUGUUCUAGUAUGGGUGUGAGUUCAAUGUUGGCUAGUCAUAAACAUACUAAGUCGAGCAUCGGAUAAGUAAAAAUCUAUUUUAAUAUUAUUUGGAUCUUUCUAAAGUAUUGCUUAAAUUUGAACGUAAGGCUUAUGAUAAGUGAUUCAGCAUUAAGUCUUUUAUUUGUGAUUUGUUUGGGUUAGUUAUAUGUGUCAUAUCUAAGUUUUAUUUUAUUUUCUUCGAGGAUGAACAAAUGUUUUAGUUUGGGGGUGUUUGAUAAAUACAUN
rnacentral:lncRNA from 1 species